ACUGAAAAUAAGAGAGAUUAGUUGAAAGUUGAAGAGUCCAAAAUAAUUAAAAAAAACUAUUGAAAUGUGAGAGAAUCUUUUUAGUAGUUGAGCAGUAGUAUGGGAGUUGUUGCUUGAGGUUUCAAUUUGUGUAAUUGUUUCAUAUCAUGCCUUCAAUUCCUAUUUACUUAUAUACAGUAAUAUUAUCUCCAUUUCUUCAUUCAACAUUCUUUCAAUGGCAUUGGCAUCCGAGAUCUCAUUCGCCGGAAUCUUCGCUAUUAGCGCUACCGCUGCUUGUUUUGCCGAGUUGUGUACUUUACCUCUAGAUACCGCCAAAGUUAGACUACAGUUACAAAAGAGAGCAGGAUCAGGGGAAGGCAAGUACGGGGGAUUAUUAGGUACAGUUGCUACAAUUGCUAAAGAGGAAGGUUUAUUAGCUCUUUGGAAAGGCAUUAUACCUGGCUUACAUCGACAAUGUAUAUAUGGAGGCCUAAGGAUUGGGUUAUAUGAGCCUGUUAAGGCGUUCUUUGCAGGUAGCUAUUAUGUUGGAGAUGGUUCCUUAUUCAGUAAAGUGUUUGCUGCUCUUGUUACUGGUGCAAUAGCAAUUGCUGUGGCUAAUCCAACUGAUCUUGUAAAAGUUCGACUCCAGGCUGAAGGUAAAGCUGGUACACCUAGGCGUUAUGAUGGUGCUUUCGAUGCAUACUGUACCAUAGCCAAACAGGAAGGACUGGCAGCUUUGUGGACAGGAAUUGUCCCAAAUAUUGCACGGAAUGCUAUUAUUAAUGCUGCUGAACUGGCCAGUUAUGAUCAUCUGAAAGAGAUAAUUUUAAAACUUCCAGGAUUUACAGACACUGUUUUAACUCAUCUCCUAGCUGGUUUAGGCGCUGGAUUCUUUGCAGUUUCUAUUGGUUCUCCAGUUGAUGUGGUCAAAUCAAGAAUGAUGGGUGAUUCAGUAUACAGGAACACCUUUGAUUGUUUUUUCAGAACAUUGAAGUACGAGGUAAUUUUGUUAUCAUUUUCUUGUUUCAGAAUGCAUGGUCAUUUGUCAGCAUAUCAUAUUUAUUGUAGGUAGAAAAAUAUUAUCAAAACGUACUUCAGUAAUUUGCGACCUAAAAUUGUUUACUGCAUAUGUAGACUCAGAAUUGUAGAAAGUCUAGCUAAAGGUGUUUCCAAUCACUAAUUGUAUAUGGAAAAGUAAUAGUCGUCCCAAAGUAUGAAACAGUAGUCAUGCUUGAAAUAGGUAAACACUUCUAAUUUCAGCUUGAACAUUACCCAUAAGAUUGUUUUAUUUGUAUUUGGAGAAUCCAGAAGUUGAAGUUACAAAUCACGCAUUUUUAUUUUUGCUAUACAUCUUCUUGAUGCUUUUUAGUGCAAAUUCGUACUUCAUCAAAAAUAAUCCAGAAGUUGAAAUGUGCCUUUGCAUGCAAUGAGAAGUGGAUUUCUCCCACUGAUCAUAAAGAAAAAAGAAAGAAAAAGAGUGGUAGGGGUAGGUAGCGAGAUAGAUAACAAAUAGUUGAUGACAGAGAGGACCUAUUUUUGUCUAAUUGCUAAAUAAUGUAUGAGGAAAGGUAUUGCUAUGGAGGAUUUUUUUUAUAACAUAGAAAGCAGCUAUACUAUUAAGCAAAUAUUUUACUCCUGUUUCUGUCUUCUUGGUAUGAGUUCCUCCUGGCCUAUACUUCUUAAUUCCUUGGUGUGUUAACUGGUGUCAAUGGGGAGCUCAGAGAAGUGGUCACCCUUCAGGGACCACUUGCUUUUUAUAAGGGUUUCCUCCCCAAUUUUUUUCGACUAGGAUCGUGGAAUGUUAUCAUGUUUUUGACUCUUGAGCAAGUCAAGAGAAGCUUCAGAUAAUAAGUAAAUUUAAUAGGCCAUUGAGUGUUUGCCAGCAUAAAGUGUUUUGAGCUUGGGAUUGGAUUUGUGCAUCUGCAAUUGCCCUCUGAAGAGGAAACAGGUGUCAAUGUGAUUGUUUCGACCUGGGGUUUAAUCCAGAUAUCACAAAAGUUACUCUGGAGCUCUACUUAUUCAUAGGGUGAUGUGACGAAGGGUUGCCUUUGUCUUUUCUCUAGUUACUAUUGGAAAAAAUGAUAUGGUAUAUAAACUUAUAGAUAAAAUUGACACUAAAUAGACCUAUUAUACCUUUUUUUUUGGGCAAACAAGAAUCUUUUGGGCUAGUCAAUAGCCUGGUUAUUAUGUUUUGAUUUAUUUACUUAAUUUGUGCUA